GCCCUGAUAGCUCAGUUGGUAGAGCAAGCGGCUGUUAACCGCUGGGUCCAAGGUUCGAGUCCUUGUUGGGGCG
rnacentral:tRNA from 1 species